rfam:Eutrema salsugineum unplaced genomic scaffold scaffold_5, whole genome shotgun sequence.
UUGCACCUUGUAUCGAGGGUCAUGCCUCGUUCUGGUGGCAUGGCCAUUUUCGAGGAUGCAGAAAUGAAUUGCUGUUUAAUCAGCAAGCGGCCAGACAACCGUUGGGAUAGAUCCACAGGUGUUGCAGAUUUUUCUCUCUGCUUUCAGCUACUAAAUCUAUCCCACAAUU